rnacentral:rRNA from 1 species
AGAAAGAGGAGGAAGCAUGAAGCAAUAACAGGUCUGUGAUGCCCUUAGACAUCUUGGGCUGCACGCGUGCUACAAUGGAAUUUAUAGAGAGUAAUUUAUUGAGAUAUAAGGAAGUUUUAAUAUAGAAAUGUAUUAUUAUGAAAUUGUAUUUUUACCAAUAUUGAAAAAUGGAGGAAAUCUUUUAAAAGGUGUACAUGACUGGGA